rnacentral:rRNA from 1 species
AUUGAACGCUGGCGGCAGGCCUAACACAUGCAAGUCGAACGGAGUGGCGGACGGGUGAGUAAUGUCUGGGAAACUGCCUGGUAGAGGGGGAUAACGUCCGGAAACGGGCGCUAAUACCGCAUACUAUCAGAUGAUCCUAGGUCGGAUUAGCUAGUUGGUGGGGUAAAGGCCUACCAAGGCGACGAUCCGUAACUGGUCUGAGAGGAUGAUCAGCCACACUGGAACUGAGACACGGUCCAGACUCCUACGGGAGGCAGCAGUGGGGAAUAUUGGACAAUGGGCGAAAGCCUGAGCAAGCCAUGCCGCGUGUGUGAAGAAGGUCUUCGGAUUGUAAAGCACUUUAAGUUGGGAGGCGUUACCAACAGAAUAAGCACCGGCUAACUUCGUGCCAGCCGCCGCGGUAAUAC